UUACUUUGAUGUCAUUCAUGGAGUUAAAAACCUUGUUAUCUUAGAUCUUCAGUAAAAUAGGAAUCAACAGCAUUGUUUAUUUUAACCGUUGCGUAACAAAAUUGGCGACCUUGCCAGGAUCCAGGUGCCGUGUAAUGUAUUAGGAAACUGCAUCAUUUAUGCCAGUUAUCUCUACCCGUCUUUGUAAACAUGGCAUCUAUCAUUAGUGAAGAGGAUGUCAAGAAUUUUCUUUCAUCAGAACCAUCUGUUGAGAAAGUUGAAUCAUUAGGGAACCAUGAACUAAAAUUAGUUGCUAAAUUUCUUGAACUGGAGUUUCCUUCAGAUGUAAAUAGAUUCCCAUUAGUUAACAUGAUUAACAGGAAAUUGUUUGGUAUAGAGGAUCCUUUUUCAGGGAAUUUCCCUGAAGAAAUUGACCGUGUUCAUGACUUUUCAGCUUCACAUGAAGUUACAAGUGAAGGCUCAAGCAAUCUUAAAGACCCUUGUGUGCUCUUAGAAUUAGAAAAGAUCCGUCUGGAGCAGGCCAAACUUGAUUUGCGCCGGGAAGAGAUGAAGCUAAAUCAUGAGUUUAGAAUAAAACAGCUGGAGAGCAAUCCUGUCUCUAUUCAUUCCUUUGAUGUGGCAAGACAGAUGAUGUAGUGGACCAUGGAAAGAUGUCCAAGCCACAUGAUUUUGUACAAGGGAAGAAAUGUAAGAUUUGUAAUUACUGUGGGAAGACUGGCCAUUGGGAGAGAGAGUGUUGGAAGAAGUCACGAGAAAUUAAGGCUAAAUCAGUAGCCUUGGUUUCCACUAAAAUAGGAGAAAAUCCAGUCGACUAUGUCACAUAAAUAUGUUAAAACCAUACUACCAGAGGGAUUCACCAGAUGCUCCAGUGUGUGCAGUAGCUCUAACACCCACAGAAGAUGAAGAUAAUGCUUGCCCGCCAACAUUGGA
rnacentral:misc_RNA from 1 species